ACUCUCUUUAUAAGAAAAUGGUUAAGAAAAUUGUGGAGUUUUAACUUCAUACAGACCUAAUUUGAUGGUUACACUGUAACCACUUAUUAAACUGCCAUGAAUGCAUCUUAAAAUUCUAUUAAAAUCCACCUAUAAUGAAAUAAUCACACUAUAAUAUUGACUUUCUAGCCUUAAGAUUGUUGCUUGUAGCAUUGCCCAAGCUAUUGUUUUCCUAUAGAUGUGCUUUAUGAAACCUCUAGGUCUCAAGGAGAGUCCUGGUAUCUUACUCAUUUAUGCGUCCUCACUUCAUGACACAAGAAAACUAAAUAAACUAAAUGGAAAUAGGAGAUCCCUGUGGAUUUGGAGAUGAGUGUCCAGUCAGUGCAUCCAUGGUGUUUUGCCCUUGGAGGAAGCCUGCUACUGUCAUGGUAAUUGCUUCUGUGGGUUGAGGGGGACUCUCACUGAAGCUCCCAUCUUUCCCAGUCCCUUCCCACCCACAGUGAACCCCCUCCCUAACACCUAUUUGCAUGGUUAGAAAACAUGCCUUUUCAGUAAAUGAUAUGUGACUUCCAUGCACAUGUCUCAUAAUGAAUGUGGAUAAGACCUAUGACUGUAAUCAAUUUUUUGAAAAAUCUUAUUUAUCUGUUGUCUUGCCUGGAUUGUAUACUUACUCAUUUGAGUCAGACUCUUGAUAUUUACCGUGAAGUCAGCUGGGACCUUACUGAAAUCAAAUGAGCUCUUGCUUCUCAUUGCAGUGUCUAAAAUCAUCCUGUCUUCACUCCAACUCUGAGCUGCAUGUAUGAGACUGAAAAACCAUUCCUAGCUCAGAUUCUCCUGAACACAUUUCAGAGUGAAAAAAAGAAUUUUGCUUGAAUCCGGACUACAGGAUAUGAAAGAAGUGUUCCGGAAAGAAAGUUCUCUUCCUUCUUUUCUUGGUUCAAUGAAUCCUGUGCUUUAAAUCAUGCCUCUGGUUCUAGAAUUUGGUGCUGCUUCUCACAGUGUUAAGCAUCUGGGCUUUUAGGCUUUUCAGAAUGCUGUAUACUUUAGGAAGGUCAGCACUUUGUAACAAUUUUCCAAAGAAAACAGUCUUUGUUGCCAUAACCUUCUUGUAUAACCAAGUUCACAGAGCCUGGAAGCAUUUUGUAAUUGUAUUGAAACAGCAAAAACUGCCCUUGGGGACCACCCGAAGGACAAGGAUAAAUUGGUUGCCUCCAUUAAGUGAUCUCUAAGCAUCAAAUUUUAGUAGAAAUGUUGGGGAGUAAGUGAUCACUUAAAAAAAGAGGUUGCCUAAGGUCUAAGAGUGCAAGUUGGCCUAUAUUUAAUAACUGCAAGGUCAUUGCAUGAAAUCAGUAAGAGGAAGCAGAGAGAAGUGGGUAUCUUAUUUCUAUACUGUGUUCUGAUUGUUUGUGAAGUCAGCUGACCUUCAAAAUGGAAUGAUUGCCUUAAAAAUAUCAUAUCACCUUGUUAACAAAAAAGGAGAUCAAAGAUUUACUCCAAUAUCCAGUCAUAACACUGUAAUUUAAAAGUACUUUGCAAUGAUUUCUAUCCCAGGACCUCACAUUCUUUUUCUUAAUUAAUUUUGUUCAUUGAAACUGCUCUAAGGGCCAGAUAUGUUUAUGGCUCUUUUGCAGAGAAGUCAGGUUACAUGCAGGGAAUUCCCAAUUACACACGCUAAUAAUAGAAGAAAUCAGGAAUGAAGAUUAUUCCAAACAGUAGAUAAUCCCCAAAUUCUCUCUGUUGGCCCUUGGAAGGUGUGGAAUUAUUUGUUGUUGCUGCUUCUUUCUUGUUGCUAUUUUUGCCAUGAGAUACUUAGCAGAAGAGCAACAGAAUGGAUCACAAUGCCAAAUUGACCAAAUGCUAGUUGGAAGUUGGCUCAGGAAUAGUCUCAAUAGGAAAAAGAAAAAGA
rnacentral:lncRNA from 10 species